AUUGAACGCUGGCGGCAGGCCUAACACAUGCAAGUCGAACGAGUGGCGGACGGGUGAGUAAUGUCUGGGAAACUGCCUGAUGGAGGGGGAUAACUACUGGAAACGGUAGCUAAUACCGCAUACCAUCGGAUGUGCCCAGAUGGGAUUAGCUAGUAGGUGGGGUAAAGGCUCACCUAGGCGACGAUCCAUAGCUGGUCUGAGAGGAUGACCAGCCAAACGGGAACGGAGCAACGGCCAGGACCCCACGGGGAGGCAGAAUUGGGGAAUAUUGCAAAAUGGGCGCAAGCUUGAUGCAGCCAUGCCGCGGGUAUGAAGAGGGCCUUCGGGUGGUAAAGUACUUUCAGCGGGGAGGCGUUACCCACAGAAGAAGCACCGGCUAACUCCGUGCCAGCAGCCGCGGUAAUUC
rnacentral:rRNA from 1 species